UUGUAUGGUAAAUUGCCCGUCCACGCAGGAAGCAUAGCUGAUGAACUCAUGGAAGAAAUAAAGAAGGAAAGUAUUCAUAUAUGGUUCCAACUUUGUAAAAAUGGGGCAUGCUUAAAUGAAGAUAUAACAAUUGUUUUUGAAACAUUUGUUGAAUCUACACUAUUGUACAACCAACAUUUGUCCUUGACUACCCAGUUGAGAUAUCACCAUUGGCAAAACCACAUCGGAGCAUCAUAG
rnacentral:misc_RNA from 1 species